UACGUAGGGUGCAAGCGUUGUCCGGAAUUAUUGGGCGUAAAGAGUUCGUAGGCGGUUUGUCGCGUCCGUUGUGAAAGCUUGGGGCUCAACCCCAAGUCUGCAGUGGGUACGGGCAGACUAGAGUCAGGUAGGGGAGAACGGAAUUCCGUGGUGUAGCGGUGAAAUGCGCAGAUAUCAGGAAGAACACCCGUGGCGAAGGCGGCUCCUCGUGG
rnacentral:rRNA from 1 species